rnacentral:rRNA from 1 species
AUUGAACGCUAGCGGGAUGCCUUACACAUGCAAGUCGAACGGAGUGGCGACCGGGUGAGUAAUGUAUCGGACCGUGCCCAGUCGCGGGGGAUAACUAAGCGAAAGCGUAGCUAAUCCCGCAUACUAUUGGAGCGGCCGAUAUCGGUUUAGCUAGUUGGUGGGGUAACGGCUCACCAAGGCGACGAUCCGUAGCUGGUUCGAGAGGACGACCAGCCACACUGGGACGGAGACACGGCCCUGAGUCCUACGGGAGGCAGCAGUGGGGAAUUGUGGACAAUUGGGGAAACCCUGAUCCAGCCGUCCCGCGUGUGCGAGGAAGGCCUUCGGGUUGUAAAGCACUUUUGGCAGGAGAGCGGUACCUGCAGAAUAAGCACCGGCUAACUACGUGCCAGCAGCCGCGGUAAUUC